UACGUAGGGGGCAAGCGUUGUCCGGAUUUAUUGGGCGUAAAAGGCUUGUAGGUGGCCACGCCAAGUCGGAUGUGAAAUCUCCCGGCUCAACUGGGAGGGGUCAUUCGAUACUGGCGGGCUCGAGGCCGGUAGGGGGAAGUGGAAUUCCCGGUGUAGUGGUGAAAUGCGCAGAUAUCGGGAAGAACACCCGUGGCGAAGGCGGCACUCUGGGACGGUACUGACGCUGAGACGCGAAAGCGUGGGGAGCGAACAGG
rnacentral:rRNA from 1 species